UUUCUUGUGUUUAUUGUGCUGUUUUUUUCUACUGGGUUCUGGCUAUUGGAGUUUCUUUCUGCUUCUGUUUGUGU